ensembl:lncRNA
GUGGACUGUAAGGUUGUUUUUUGUUUGUUUUUGUUUUUGUUUUUUACAAAAUGACGAGAAUGAAGUCUAUUGGAAAAAGUUUAUUUUACAAAUCUUUAUAGGUCAUUGUUCAAAGUUUGCACUUGGUAUUCCAGAUUUCACUGUUCACUGAUAAAGCUACAGUACAUGAGAUACACAAUGCUAGGUUCUGUUGGUUUCAGAGCCCCCGGCAAUGAUCUGAACAUCUGGCAAAGACAAUACCUAUAUUGCAUUUAAUAGCAGUUUCUUAAUCUAAAAAGCAACUUUACAUGCAAUCUAUUGAGGAAGCCUAAAAUAACUUUUGGUCCCUUUUAUUUUUUAAAACUGUGCUGGAGAAACCAUUUUUACUUCCUAUUUCCCCUAUUCCUGUCAUCCUAAGGUAAUUCAAGUCAAAUUUGCUGCUGAGGUCAAUGAGAAUGAAUACUGUGUAUAUAUGUAUGUGUGUGCACGUAUACACACACAUACACAUAUACACACACACACACACACACACACACACACACCCCUGUAUAAAAUGUUGCUUUUUUUAGAGAGAAAGAGAGAGGAGGAAGAAAGGGAUAAAAAACAAAUGGAAGGACAGGAGAAAAUGGGUGAGACAGGGAAGGGAAGAGACAAGGAGGAAGGAGAGGAGGAGAAAAAGGCAAAGGAAGGAAAUAGGGAGGGGGAAGGAGAGGAAGAAGAAGUAGGGAAAGGGAAGGGGAGGGAAGAAGAAGGAGAGGGUGGGAGAGAGGGGGAGGAGGAAAAGUGGGGAGGAAGGGAAAGAAAGGGGGAAGGAGAGAGGGAGAAAGAGGGAAGGAGAGGAAGAGAGAAGGGGAGAAGGAGGGAAUGAGAGAGUGAGAGCGAGAGCGAGAACGAGAGCAAGAGCGAAAGAGAGAAGGAGGAGGAAGAAGGAGGGGGGAAGGAAGAAGGGGGGAAAGAAAACUACCCAGAAGAAAGAACCCACAAUUUUCAGAAAACUAAAAUCUUCAUGAAUUAUUUGAAUCUCCUAUUGUUUAGUAGAGCUAAUAAAGAUUGACCACCACCAUCUAAUCUACUUUGAAUACAGUGUUUGGUUUUAAGUGUGAUAUUAAAGUGCAAACCGAAAUGAUCAGGUUUCAAGCAGUUUAUAAAUAGGGAAAAGUAUUCCAAUCAUCCCUAGCCCUCCGUUCUCACCAUAAAAUUAUAUAUCUAAGACGAGAAAAUUUAACUUUAGAGAAUUUCAUGGGGAACUAAAUAAAGUCCACCAACCAUGGAGAAUCAAACAGUUCAAUCAGAAUUUUUGUUCCAGAAAAAUCGGUCACAAAGACCACUGAUGGCAAUGUAGUAGGCCCUGGUGAUACCUGCUGAUGUACUUGAAUAUCGCACACAAUGAAAUGCUAAAUUGCCCCACCUCCCCAGACCAUCACUGCAUAUACUAGAGCCUUCUUGGCCAAAGGUCUUUAGCUAUUACAAGUCAAAAGAGUCCUUUUGGUUUUCUUUUCAUUAGAAGCAUGUUCAAAUGACUAAAGCUGGGCCCCUAAGAUCUACAACUUUGGUGCAGUAGGUGAGCUGCAGUUCAUCACUUCUGUAAAACAUACGCGCACACGCCCACACACACAGGCACACACAAAACUAAACCGAAGAUAAAGCAAAAUAUUGGAAAACUUACAAAACUUUAAACCACUGCUAGAAAAAGCUCGCUUGUACACAUGUUAAAACGGAAGAAAAAGCAUCAUUUAUUCUUUACACAUUUUUUUUUCUGUUUUAAUACCUGUGUUACUGUUAAAAUGUUCAAGUAUUCAGACAAAAUGUGUUGAUCAGGUAAACAACAGGGAAGUCAAUGGCUGUUCAGAGCGCAUUUGCAAUUCAGAGCACUGGAAAAAAUGGGUGCUUUCCCCCCUUACCUUACACUGAUUUUUGUCUCUGUUGCUAACCUGUUUACUGGGAAAUAACAAAAAAAGCAAUUGUGACAGUGCAAGAAGAUGUUAACAAAUAUUGCUUUACAACAUUGUUCAGAAAGACAAAUAUUAACUAUAAAAUGUAAAAUCAUUUUAUUUGCAUUCACUUUACAUGUGCAGAAACUGACUAGAUGUAAAUUACUAACCUGCCAGGCAAAGCUGAGAUAUUUGAGUGCAGGUAUCCGAAAUUCAUUUACCUAGAAUACAAUAUCCCUUUUCAAAGGCAUUGUUAAAAGUAGGUCAUAACUAAAUUUAGAACUUCGCAGAAAGGAAAAUGCUUCAGCUGCAAGUCACUGUUGCAAAGGACAUUAACAAAAUCAUGAAAACCCCAUUCAACUAAAUAUCACGGUCAAUUUCAAAUCGCAAUUUCCACUUUCUGAACAUGUCAAUUACAAUACCCUAUCACAGGCUGCAUCCGAUGAGAAAAGGGAUAUUACAUCCAUACAGGUAAGAUGGGAUCUUGAGUUUCUCACAACACUGUCACACGUAAACAUAAAGUC